GAUGUCCUGACACUGUCCAGCAGCACAGAAAGUGAGGGGGAAAGUGGGACCAGCCGAAAGCCCACUGCUGGUCAGACUUCGGCUACAGCGGUUGACAGUGAUGAUAUCCAGACCAUAUCCUCUGGCUCUGAAGGGGAUGACUUUGAGGACAAGAAGAACAUGACUGGUCCAAUGAAGCGUCAAGUGGCAGUAAAAUCAACCCGAGGCUUUGCUCUUAAAUCAACCCAUGGGAUUGCAAUUAAAUCAACCAACAUGGCCUCUGUGGACAAGGGGGAGAGCGCACCUGUUCGUAAGAACACACGCCAAUUCUAUGAUGGCGAGGAGUCUUGCUACAUCAUUGAUGCCAAGCUUGAAGGCAACCUGGGCCGCUACCUCAACGUGAGACCCCUCUCCCCACCUCUAGAUGCUGGAUUAUCCCAUGGUCCUCAGAUUUCUUUUAACAUACUCUAUAAGCCCUUUUCUUGUUAUAAACUCUUGAUCUCAAA
rnacentral:sRNA from 1 species